rnacentral:rRNA from 1 species
GCUUAGCCCUAAACCUAAAUAAUUAAAUAACAAAAUUAUUUGCCAGAGAACUACUAGCAACAGCUUAAAACUCAAAGGACUUGGCGGUACUUUAUACCCAUCUAGAGGAGCCUGUUCUAUAAUCGAUAAACCCCGCUAUACCUCACCAUCUCUUGCUAAUUCAGCCUAUAUACCGCCAUCUUCAGCAAACCCUAAAAAGGUAUUAAAGUAAGCACAAGAAUAGACAUAAAAACGUUAGGUCAAGGUGUAGCUAAUGAGAUGGAAAGAAAUGGGCUACAUUUUCUUUCACAAGAACAAACGAAACCCUUUAUGAAAUUAAAGGAUAAAGGAGGAUUUAGUAGUAAAUUAAGAAUAGAGAGCUUAAUUG